GGUGAACGCUGACAGAAUGCUUAACACAUGCAAGUCAACUUGAAUUUGGGUUUUUAACUUCGGUUUGGGUGGCGGACGGGUGAGUAACGCGUAAAGAACUUGCCUCACAGCUAGGGACAACAUUUGGAAACGAAUGCUAAUACCUAAUAUUAUGAUAAUAGGGCAUCCUAUAAUUAUGAAAGCUAUAAGCGCUGUGAGAGAGCUUUGCGUCCCAUUAGCUAGUUGGAGAGGUAACGGCUCACCAAGGCGAUGAUGGGUAGCCGGCCUGAGAGGGUGAUCGGCCACAAGGGGACUGAGACACGGCCCUUACUCCUACGGGAGGCAGCAGUGGGGAAUAUUGGACAAUGGACCGAGAGUCUGAUCCAGCAAUUCUGUGUGCACGAUGAAGUUUUUCGGAAUGUAAAGUGCUUUCAGUUGGGAAGAAACAAAUGACGGUACCAACAGAAGAAGUGACGGCUAAAUACGUG
rnacentral:rRNA from 1 species